GUGUAUUCUUAAGUUAAUGACACUAAUAUCUAUAGCUGUUAUUGCUUGAGAAUACACGU
rnacentral:pre_miRNA from 1 species